AGGAAUAGAAGGAGACACGGUGAACAGCCUUUACCAACAGAGAUACUCGUCAAGUUAAUUGAUAAAAAUGUCCGUAAUCGGUUGAGCACAAUGGAAGGGAGAGGAGCCUCAAGCGGACUCCAAACUUGGUUUGCAUCAAAGAUCUAGAGAAGACUCUGUUUGCUUUUUAAUGUCUUAAAAAUGAUUCGAAUUGUAUCGCAUUAAGUUGUAGAAAACGUUUAUUUUUCUUUUGAAUAUAAUUUAACAUUAAAUUCAAAA
rnacentral:lncRNA from 1 species